CGCUGCUGAAACAGUGCGGAAACGACCUGUCUCGCGAGAACAUUCUCAAGCAGACCCGCAACAUCAAGGGGCUGGCGCUGCCGAUGUCGCUUCCGGGCAUCGUUGUGAACACAGGCCCGACCCACANNNNNNGUAUACGCAGUCGCAACUGCAGCGCUGGAACGGCAAGAACUGGGAACUGUUCGGCGAAGUCAUGAGCGACGAUCCGAAGUGAUAAUCUGACCCUGCGCGGCGGANGUCUGCCGCACCGCGAUAACCGCAAACGACCUCUGUUGAUAGGAGACGGACCUUGGCCAAGAGAAAUGCGACCGUGGCGGUGAUCGGCGCCGGCGACUUUAUCGGCGGGG
rnacentral:misc_RNA from 1 species